GUUCAGGUGCAGAACGACAGAUUUGUACCUUGUACCUUGUCAGCUUCCGGUUACUAGUCCAACGCUCUAACCACUAGGCUACCCUGCCGCCCCAAAAUUGUAAAUUAGGGUGACCAGACGUCCCCGGAAGUGUCCCCGUUUUUAACAGUGCAUUAAAAACAGACUGCAAAGUGAAAUAAUAUUUGACGUGGCAAGAAAGACCGGGCAGCAGAGCCUACCGGUUGACGUCUCAAUUGCGUUGUGCUUGUUUUGUCCAGCAGAGCGGGCUGCUCGCUAUAGCAGCUUCAUUCACUCUUCUACUAACUACUUGCUCGCUCUAGUUUUAGAGAAAACUGCUGUGGAAAACUCGGCCAGAACCUAACAAGUGUCAAGUGAAUCCACAACAUCACCACAAACGUCUUUUCAAGCCAGAUUGGAGAGGAAGGAGAAGAAGAAAUGAAGGGAGUAAAACGAGUGAAGCGAGGAGAGUGUAGAAGAGUGAGGUGGAAAGGUGAAGAGAAGGAAGACGAGUGAAGAAAAGAGGAGGAGAAAGAUUGGAGCAGAAGAAAAAGUUAAGAGAGUAAGAAGAGCAGACAGAGGAGGUACAAUGGCUCUUUCCAAGAAACGGAAUGAAUGAUAUAUGGACAGCAGCAAGAAAUAAGCUCACUGUUCCUACGCUUAUUGUGAAGACAAACUUCAACCUCCCCUGCCAGGAGUUCACGGUGAAGCUGGCCAAAGAGAGCAAUCCUGAAGAAGAUACAUUCUUCUGAGAAAUAUACAGAUUAGGUUGGUAUAAGUAUAUUAUGUAGUUACCAAUCACAUCAUCGUCUUAUUUCUUUAUUACGUUGUUAAGUAUUUCACAUAGACUAUUGCCUGUUUUUUCAAUUUUGCUAAUGUUCUCUUAUGCUCUUAUUCUACCCAGACUACCAGGACCACUGAAUGGCUGUUCAGAUUGGACAGUUCUGUCUAGUCUGUAGUGUUUCUGUAACAGUUGUUUUCUCUGUCACAAUGUGCCUGUUAGACUAAAUACACUAAACCCGGAAUUGUCCCCCUUUUUUAAUUUCAUAGAUAAUAACGGAUAUUUUAAUGAUAUAUUGACCGCCGAACUGGAAAUGUCCCCGGUUUUAAUUUCAGAACUGUGGUCACCUUAUUGUAAAUGUGCUAAAAAUAAUGGAUUGUCUGGUGGACCUCAGAUGUCUUCAAAAGAGAGAGUUACUGGAAUUUGCCAUGAUCAUUUUUAGAUUGCUGAGGUGUUGUUUUAUAACUCAAGUGAAACAAGUCAUUUAGGUUUACACAGGCAACCCAAUUCUGAUCUUUGUUCCACUAAUUGGUGGAGCUGAUCUGAUUGGUCAAAAGACCAAUUAGUGAAGAAAAAUUCAGAAUCGGGCUGCCUAUGUAAAUGCUGCCAAACAUAUUACAUAUGUACGGUACACUCACAUGGAGUAUUUGAAAACAAGAACGUGAUCAAAUUAAAUGUUUGGUGGUUUAUCUUACAGUGAACGUUGGAGGAGAAGUAGAUUGUGCAACCAUAGACAGUCCAAUGUACUUGAUUGUGUCAGUUUCUGUUGAAAGGGAAAAGGCAGACGUGCAGAAUCAACUAGUAUUUCUCAUUUUCAAGAUCCUGUUGACAUUUCAACAAUAUUUUAAUACUCGAUUAGCCAUGGUUACCGUGAAUAGGUGUUACAUGUUCUUAUAAUUAUUAAUGUUCUUAUAAUUAACCACCUUUCUAAAUUGCAGUCCAGUAAGUACAGUAUAGUGUAUCAUCAACAUCCAUCUCUACCUUGAGGAGUGUAACAGUCUGUACAGUUUGUUCGGUCUUGAGCACAUCUACAGAUUCCACCAGAUCCAUUCUUCUGAUAUGGCGCACUGACCAUUACCCUGUGGGUGAGAAAUAAAAAUGUUAGUUCGGUC